AAUGGCAUAUAUUAACGCUGUUGCGGUUAAAACGCUCGUAGUUGAUUCCGAGCUUAACCCGUGCACAGUCGGUGGAGAGUCGUCGUAAAUCCAAAGUGUAGACAUCUCCAUUUUGCCGACGUGUACGGAUGACAGCAGCUUGAUAUGUAAUAAUAUCAUGAUUUGCUUGAUGGCUGGCUCUUUCGGGUUAUGCUCUUUACCGAGUGUCCCGAGUGGCUGGUGUGUUUACUUUGAAAAAAUAAGAGUGCUCAAAGCAGGUAUAAUAAAAUGCCUGAAUUUUUACUGCAGAGUAUAAUAGAAUAAGACCUCAGUUCCGUUUCCUAAAAAUCUUUUUAAAUUAAUUUUUAAAAAUGUAUAAAAAGGACUGGUUUACCGGAACUGAGGUAAUGGAUAAUAGAGUCGGAUGGGGGCUUAUGUAUUGUGGCGCGAGAGGUGAAAUUCUAUGACCGUCACAAGACAAACAACAGCGAAGGCAUUUGCCAAGGAUGUUUUCAUUAAUCAGGAACCAAAGUUAGAGGUUCGAAGGCGAUCAGAUACCGCCCUAGUUCUAACCGUAAACUAUGCUGACCGGCUAUUCAUCUGUAAAAGUCACAUCCAGUGACUCGAUGAGCAUUCCCCUGGGAAACCAAAGUUUUUGAGUUCCGGGGGAAGUAUGGUUGCAAAGCUUAAACUUAAAGGAAUUGACGGAAGGGCACCACCAGGAGUGGAGCCUGCGGCUUAAUUUGACUCAACACGGGAAACCUCACCAGGUCCGGACACUAGAAGGAUUGACAGAUUGAAAGCUCUUUCUUGAUUCAGUGGGUGGUGGUGCAUGGCCGUUCUUAGUUGGU
rnacentral:rRNA from 1 species